UGGCUCAGGACGAACGCUGGCGGCGUGCUUAACACAUGCAAGUCGAACGGAGCACCCUUGACUGAGGUUUCGGCCAAAUGAUAGGAAUGCUUAGUGGCGGACUGGUGAGUAACGCGUGAGUAAUCUGCCUAUCACAGGGGGAUAACAGAGGGAAACUUCUGCUAAUACCGCAUAAGACCACAGGAUGGCAUCAUCAAGGGGUCAAAGGUUAGAUCUGGUGAUAGAUGAGCUUGCGUAUCAUUAGCUAGUUGGUGAGGGUAAAGGCCCACCAAGGCGACGAUGAUUAGCCGAUCUGAGAGGAUGACCGGCCACACUGGGACUGAGAUACGGCCCAGACUCCUACGGGAGGCAGCAGUUAGGAAUAUUGGGCAAUGGAGGAAACUCUGACCCAGCAACGCCGCGUGAAGGAAGAAGGUUUUCGGACUGUAAACUUCUGAUCUAAGGGAAAAAGAAAGUGAUGGUACCUUAGGAGAAAGCCACGGCUAACUACGUGCCAGCAGCCGCGGUAA
rnacentral:rRNA from 1 species